CAGAAACAGAACUGCCAAGGUGGGUUCCCACUGACCUGGUGCACCCUCCAGGCCACGCGGGCCAGAUCUGAGACCGGAGACAGAUCCAUCACUGCUGGAGUCUGGAGAUGAUGGAAGAGGCAUGUGACACCAGCUGUUCACCUUCCUCACCGGAGCCUUUUGUGCGGCCUGACAGGCUGUCAACUCCAGGCAGGGGACGAUUGUAGAAGAUGGCACGCGUUACCUUGAGGUGACACCACAUUCCACCAAAGGCCUGAGUUCAGUAACUUGUCUUGAGCUAACAAUAACUUUGAACAGCUUUGCAGCACAGCGUUUAAAGCUUGCUUUGGCUCUGUGAUAUCCGCUUGGCAUUGCUGCUUUUGUCUAACACGUAAUCUGAACAAAACUCAAAUGAAUCUUUCAGAUGAAUGAAACCUUGUGUUGAGUCAGACUCCCUCCAGUUAUUUUUCUUGUCUUAUCUCCUUCGCAGGCGUGAGAGGUGAUUUUUGGCCAUCAUCAGGGUUGAGGGCAGGACAGGAAGACCUUUACAGUGACACAACUCAAAAAUAGACGCCCACCCAUGUACAGCGCACGCAAACUGACUGUAAAGCAUGCGUCAUCCUAAGAACAAGCAGAAACUCCAUUUUGUACUUUUUGUGUAAAAGUUCAAUGUGAAACUCGUGGAACAAAAACACAUUAAUUGUAAUUCAAAAUACAUCUUAUAAAUUACAAAUUAGCAAUAAAAUAAUUCUUAUUUCAUUACACAAACACAUUUUUGUCUUAGAGUGUACUUUGUUAAUAAGCUUCUCUUAGCUUAGUCCUGGGAUUUGUCCAUUAAACCAGUUUGUGUUUUUAAUAUCACUACAUGCAUAAUUAUAAGGAGAAAAUUAAAAAGCACCACAAAAACUGAUAUUCAACAUUAGGUCAACGGGUUUUGUUUUUUUUUUUUAAUUUAGCCAUUCAAAUGAUCCGAUUUGUUCACACAUACUGCCCUCUAGCGUUGAAACAACAACACUGCCAUCAUCUCCCUAAACACCAGCAGCAUCUCAUAUGAGUUAUUUAGACAAUAACUUCUUCUCUUCUGUAACUGAACUGCAGACUUUCAGGUUUAAUUAAAGAGUUAAAAAAAAAAAAAAAAAAAAGUAUUGAACGAACUAUUUUAGAAUUGCAGACAUUUUUACACACAGGCCCCAAUUUUCAGAGGCUAAAAUGUACAUAUGUUUGAAACAUUUGGUUGUGUUUAAUACUUGGACGAACAACCUUUCUGCAUUCAGUUUUGCAUUUAAUAACUGAAAACACGUUGUGGUGGGCAGAGAUCCCAUUUUUGCCUUAAGUAAUUCUUGGUUUGCUUUUGAAGUUUGCUUCAUUAUACAGUUGCACUGUGAAGCUCUAUCCAACUGGUUUUGCAGCAUUUUGCUGCAUCUGAGCAGAGAGUAUAGCCCCAAACACUUCACAGUUCACCCUGCCAGAACUGCUUGACCUGAGAAGCACCUGAUAUAGCUACCGUUUGCUUGAAGGCGCACAGACAACCCUGACUUUACCCCAUUUCUUACUGGGGUUUCAGAUGUUGAGCCUUCCAACACAAAGAAAAUCUGCCUUUUUGUACCCACUUUGUAAUAUACCACUCUGGAAAACUGUAACUUAAUGGCUGAGCAAACACAGAAGACCCGUUUCUUCAGACUUAAUAGUAAGAAACACUAAACUGCACUCAAGUAUUAUCCCCAAUACUCAGGGGUCAUUUCACACACAGUACAAGACUAAAAUGUUAAUAAAUAUUCUACCUACUUGAAUAACUUCAUUCAAACUUUUAAUUAUCAAGUCUCACAAAUGGAACUGUAAUAUUACUUUUUAUUGUCACUCACAGAAAUGCAAGCAUUGCCUUGUUCUAAGAGGUGACUAAGUAAAUGCAAGUAUAUAGACAAACAGGGGUUUUCCUGAAAUUUAGAUUUCUACUGGCUCUAAAAAUCACUAAACGCUAUGAGCACAAAUCAAACAAAAAUAAAACCAUACAGUAGCUUCCAGAAGAAGAGUGCAUCCCUGUAUUGUAUUCAUGCAGCACCUGGAUGAUAAAAACACCUGUGACCAUCUAAAAUCAGAUAAUCUAUAUGCAGUUUUAUAACAACA